GAGAGAGAGAGAGAGAGAGAGAGAGAGAGAGAGAGAGAGAGAGAGAGAGAGAGAGAGAGAGAGAGAGAGAGAGAGUGAGAUAGAUAGAGAGAGAGAGAGAGAGAGAGAGAGAGAGAGAGAGAGAGAGUGAGAGAGAGAGUGAGGAGGAGGAGAGAGAGGAGGAUGAGAGAGGAGGAUGAGAGAGAGUUGCUGCCAUGCAUGACAUCACAAACACGCACAGUCACACUUGUUAAAGUGUCUGUUCUCUCUCAAGAGUACAGAGGAACAUUCAGCUCUGAGUCUGAGCAGUACGACAAGACUCAUCCUGCCUGCGACACACAUUGCACUCUGAAGCACCAUACUGAUUUAACCAGCUGCGGCAUCAAUAACACAGGGGUGUGUGUGUGUGUGUUUGUGUGCAGGGCCUAAUAUGUACUAGAGAUGGUGUGAGAUGGUGUGGAUAAUUCAUGAAAAUGUACACAAUAAUGUACAGUAAACCACUGAGCCACACUGGUCUGCUGAACUCUACUCUACUGAACUCUACUCUACGGUACUGAACUGAACUCUACUCUACAGUCCUGAACUGAACUCUACUGACUAUAUGAAUAAAGUAAUAUAUAUUAGCCAAUGUCAAUGCAAAACAAAACUAACUAUACAAGACAUUUUGUUGUAGGCAGAACGCAUCGGAGUAGGAUUCUAUUGCACUGACAGGCACUACUCAGCACGUACUCUACACAGACUGGUGCGCCAGUCUGGUCCUUCUGUGGCUCAGUUGGUAGAGCAUGGCGCUUGUAACACCAGGGUAGUGGGUUCGAUUCCCGGGACCACCCAUACGUAGAAUGUAUGCACACAUGACUGUAAGUCGCUUUGGAUAAAAGCGUCAGCUAAAUGGCAUAUAUUAUUAUUAUUAUAUUAGAGUUGCAGUAUCCCUAUAUGCAAAUAGACCAUUGCCAUAUAUGGAUCUGUGCCCUUCACUUUGAACUGGACUGUGUUUACAGCAUGAGGAGUUGUGAGUAGGUGAACUGGACUGUGUUUACAGCAUGAGGAGUCGUGAGCAGGUGAACUGGACUGUGUUUACAGCAUGAGGAGUCGUGAGCAGGUGAACUGGACUGUGUUUACAGCAUGAGGAGUUGUGAGUAGGUGAACUGGACUGUGUUUACAGCAUGAGGAGUUGUGAGUAGGUGAACUGGACUGUGUUUACAGCAUGAGGAGUUGUGAGUAGGUGAACUGGACUGUGUUUACAGCAUGAGGAGUCGUGAGCAGGUGAACUGGACUGUGUUUACAGCAUGAGGAGUUGUGAGUAGGUGAACUGGACUGUGUUUACAGCAUGAGGAGUUGUGAGUAGGUGAACUGGACUGUGUUUACAGCAUGAGGAGUCGUGAGCAGGUGAACUGGACUGUGUUUACAGCAUGAGGAGUCGUAAGUAAGUGAACUGGACUGUGUUUACAGAAUGGGGAAUAAUGAGUAGGUGAACUGGACUGUGUUUACAGCAUGAGAGGUUGUGAGUAAGUGAACUGGACUGU